rfam:Lupinus angustifolius cultivar Tanjil chromosome LG16, whole genome shotgun sequence.
AAACCGUGGUUGGGUCAUUUUCUCAAUAACAUCUAGAAACACUCUCAGACUUCACAAAAUGAUUCUUCUACACCUUGUCGAAAAGUUGAUGUCUCAUAUUUGGCAU